NNNNNNNNNNNNNNNNNNNNNNNNNNNNNNNNNNNNNGCAACAAGGAAGAGACACCUGCAAUUGUUAUUCUUGGGCAGCACUGGGAAGCAUCCUUUCAUAAACAAAGCACACACUGCCUACCAUAAUUCCAGUGGAUUUCUGAAAGGUGUUUUUAUGACUGAAGCAAAUUCUUUCAAGCUGUUUCUGUGGAAGGAGAAUCAUAAGAAGGAGAGAUGGGAAAUGCUUGCUGAACACCCUGUUAACAAAGAGGUCCCUUUGCUGUUGAGAAAGAAAAUGGUACUGUUGGAGCACAAAAUGGGACCUGAGCAUGCUAAGGAAAACGCAUAGCUUAUUGCCAUUGUGAGAUGUAUAGAACAAAUGAAAUCCUCAGUGUGUGUGUAUUGUUGACCUGAGCUUGGCCCUGCCAGGGCUUGAUCUGGUGCUGCUUGUAUUUGUGCUAAUUACUGGGCCCCAAGAUCUGGUUGCUGCCAUGAAGAGAUCCUCACAUCCACCAAGAGAUGCUAGCUAAUUGCAGGAUGCAGUCUUCUCUCUACAGUUCACCCUACUGCUCCUGCUGUAAGCUAACUAGAAUUAUCCUGCACAAUUAAGGAAAGAUGGACCAUGAGCUCGUGGCCAGGAGAAACAGCAAACUCCAAAGAAAAUAGGAAGCAUGUGCGUGCUCCCAGACCUGGAUAUCGACAGCCUUAGAGUUAGUCAGGACACGAGGCUGUUUCUCUCCUUAGAAAAGCUUUCUUUCUAAAGCUUUCUAAAGGAGUUUUGCAUUUCUUUUUGGUUUUUUGUUUGUUUGUUUUGUUUUUCGAGACAGGGUUUCUCUGUGUAGCCCUGGCUGACCUGGAACUCACUCUGUAGACCAGGCUGGCCUCGAACUCAGAAAUCUGCCUGCCUCUGCCUCCCGACCAAGUGCUGGGAUUAAAGUCCUGCACUACCACUGCCCAGCUGAGUUUUGCAUUUUUAACCAUCUCCUUGCUGUUAAUUUUUUACCUGCAAUACAUUUGCCAGAGAUAAUAUGUAUGUUUUAGAUGGCCAUAUUGUGUCUGUCUGCUGUACUGUGUUGUGUGUAAUAUAUAAUUACAUAUGUCCUGUAUUAUGAUAUGUAAUUACAUAUGUAAUAAGUAAUAUUUUAGGAACUUCUGUAUGUUCACAAGAAGAAAUUUAAGGCAUGAAGACACUGCUUACUGUUACCUAAAGGACCCAAUAAAAACCCAGAAACAGGUC
ensembl:lincRNA Platr28 pluripotency associated transcript 28